rnacentral:rRNA from 1 species
UACGUAGGGUGCGAGCGUUGUCCGGAAUUAUUGGGCGUAAAGAGCUUGUAGGCGGUCUGUCGCGUCUGCUGUGAAAAUCCGGGGCUCAACCCCGGACUUGCAGUGGGGUACGGGCAGACUAGAGUGUGGUAGGGGGAGACUGGAAUUCCUGGUGUAGCGGUGAAAUGCGCAGAUAUCAGGAGGAACACCGAUGGCGAAGGCAGGUCUCUGGGCCACUACUGACGCUGGAGAAG